rnacentral:rRNA from 1 species
AGAGUUUGAUCAUGGCUCAGAACGUACGCUGGCGGCACGCCUAACACAUGCAAGUCGAACGAAGUAGCAAUACUUAGUGGCAGACGGGUGAGUAACAUGUAGGUAUCUGCCCUUUGGCCUGGAAUAACACGAGGAAACUUGUGCUAAUACCGGAUAAGUCUUUACGGAGAAAGCUUUAUGCACCAUUGGAUGAGCCUGCACUUGAUUAGUUUGUUGGUGGGGUAAUGGCCCACCAAGACUGUGAUCAAUAGCUGAUUUGAGAGGAUGAUCAGCCACAUUGGGACUGAGACACGGCCCAAACUCCUACGGGAGGCAGCAGUGGGGAAUCUUGCACAAUGGAGGAAACUCUGAUGCAGCGAUGCCGCGUGAGUGAAGAAGGCCCUUGGGUUGUAAAGCUCUUUCGUCGGGGAAGAAAAUGACUGUACCCGAAUAAGAAGGUCCGGCUAACUUCGUGCCAGCAGCCGCGGUAAUACGAAGGGACCUAGCGUAGUUCGGAAUUACUGGGCUUAAAGAGUUCGUAGGUGGUUAAAAAAGUUGGUGGUGAAAUCCCAGAGCUUAACUCUGGAACUGCCAUCAAAACUUUUUAGCUAGAGUAUGAUAGAGGAAAGCAGAAUUUCUAGUGUAGAGGUGAAAUUCGUAGAUAUUAGAAAGAAUACCAAUUGCGAAGGCAGCUUUCUGGAUCAUUACUGACACUGAGGAACGAAAGCAUGGGUAGCGAAGAGGAUUAGAUACCCUCGUAGUCCAUGCCGUAAACGAUGUGUGUUAGACGUUGGAAAUUUAUUUUCAGUGUCGCAGCGAAAGCGAUAAACACACCGCCUGGGGAGUACGACCGCAAGGUUAAAACUCAAAUGAAUUGACGGGGACCCGCACAAGUAGUGGAGCAUGUGGUUUAAUUCGAAGAUACGCGCAGAACCUUACCAACACUUGACAUGUUCGUCGCGACUUUAAGAGAUUAAAGUUUUCGGUUCGGCCGGACGAAACACAGGUGCUGCAUGGCUGUCGUCAGCUCGUGUCGUGAGAUGUUGGGUUAAGUCCCGCAACGAGCGCAACCCUCACUUUUAGUUGCCAUCAUUUAGUUGGGCACUCUGAAAGAACUGCCAGUGAUAAGCUGGAGGAAGGUGGAGAUGACGUCAAGUCCUCAUGGCCCUUACGUGUUGGGCUACACACGUGCUACAAUGGUAUCUACAACAGGAAGCAAAACCGCGAGGUUAAGCAAAUCCUUAAAAGAUACCUCAGUUCGGAUUGCACUCUGCAACUCGAGUGCAUGAAGCUGGAAUUACUAGUAAUCGUGGAUCAGCGUGCCACGGUGAAUGCGUUCCCGGGUCUUGUACACACCGCCCGUCACACCAUGGGAGUUGGUUCUACCUUAAGGCAAGGUUUCAAACCCUUGACCACGGUAUAGUCAGCGACUGGGGGGAAGUCGUAGCAAGGUAAA